rnacentral:rRNA from 1 species
UUGAUCAUGGCUCAGAUUGAACGCUGGCUGGCAAGCCUAACACAUGCAAGUCGAGCGGCAGCACAAGGGAGUUUACUCCUGAGGUGGCGAGCGGCGGACGGGUGAGUAAUGCCUAGGGAUCUGCCCAGUCGAGGGGGAUAACAGUUGGAAACGACUGCUAAUACCGCAUACGCCCUACGGGGUGAAAGAGGGGGACUUUCGGGCCUCUCGCGAUUGGAUGAACCUAGGUGGGAUUAGCUAGUUGGUGAGGUAAUGGCUCACCAAGGCGACGAUCCCUAGCUGUUCUGAGAGGAUGAUCAGCCACACUGGGACUGAGACACGGCCCANGACUCCUACGGGAGGCAGCAGUGGGGAAUAUUGCACAAUGGGGGAAACCCUGAUGCAGCCAUGCCGCGUGUGUGAAGAAGGCCUUCGGGUUGUAAAGCACUUUCAGUAGGGAGGAAAGGUUGUAAGUUAAUACCUUGCAGCUGUGACGUUACCUACAGAAGAAGGACCGGCUAACUCCGUGCCAGCAGCCGCGGUAAUACGGAGGGUCCAAGCGUUAAUCGGAAUUACUGGGCGUAAAGCGU